AUGGGCAGGAUCCGGAUGGAGGGGAGAAGUCCCGCUUGGAGAAAUAGCUCCUUGAGAUCACCUUGUUCAUGGGCGGGGGGGGGGGCGCUCCCGCAAUCCCAAGAGAGGAGCCGGAGGCUGGAUCCCUUCAGGAGCAGCUCAGUCCUCGGAAAGAAGCGGCCGAGGCCCGACACAAAGAGAGACCGGCUUCCCCGUGGGGCGCUUCCCUGCCUCCCCCUCUCCCCCUUCUUGCCAUCUAACCAAGUACCUCGCGACGUUUCCCAAGCCAGACCAGGCCGCUUCGCUCCCGCUGCCCCUAACCCCCCCCCCCAAUAUAGCCAAGCUCUUUACUAUCCUUCUCUGUGUGUGGCUGCUGGGGGGGGGGCAGAGAUAGUGUCCCUUCCUAUUCACCGUAAAUGCCGCCGCUUCGGUUUCCUUUCUCUCCAGGGGCGAGUCGAGGAGCACCGGACGGCGCCAGGAAGGCCCGGAGCCGAGAAAGAGAUCCCCGUCGCGGAAAGAGCGUUUCGGCUGUGGAGAAGUGCCAGCCUGGGACCGCGCAAAAACAUAUUCCUCGGGGUGAAGGAGAGACCCACUCACACGCGCAAAGUGUCCCUUCCCGGCCCCCUCCGCCUUUGUUCCCGCUGGGCCCUCGCCUUCCCGCCCGGCGCGGAUCUUGCCUCGGUCUCCCGAGACCAGCUUUGGGCUAACGGCUUCGGCCGCGUCCUCCACGGCUGGCCUGGCGCGGCUCUCCCGGCUCCGCUCUCCGCCUCGGCACUGAUCCCGCGGGCGUCGGGCGCCUCUCAGUUCUGUCUAAUAGUCCCCCCCCCUCCCCGCGGCAUCCCUUCGCAAAGGUUCCUUCUUUCUGAACCCAAAAUGUGGGCUCGAGGGACGAAGUUCAAGGCUGUCCAAAAGCGCAAGAGCCUGGAGCUGCCGGUCUCUCUCUUCCCGGUCCCCCCCUUCCAGAAAAGCACCUGCGGGUCCCUAAAGGGACAGCUCAGCCCGAGGGGGACCCCGAGGGGGCGGGCUGGCCUCACCAAUCUCGCGGCAGCCUCGGGAUUCCGAGCAAAAUGGUGGGGGGCGCGCACUCAGGAAGGGUCCCCACGCAGAGAACGGGAUUCCUUCGGGGAUUCCAUCCAGCUCGGAGCGCGUCUGCUCCAGAACCGAAGGAGAGGCGUCGGGGGCCGGGAAAGGAAGAAGGGCAGAGCCGCCCUGUGGGAGGGCCGCGGAAGGAACGCGUGCCUUCCGCGGGCCGUUGAGGCCCUUUGA
rnacentral:lncRNA from 1 species